rnacentral:rRNA from 1 species
UACGGAGGGUGCGAGCGUUGCUCGGAAUGACUGGGCGUAAAGGGCGCGUAGGCGGCUCAUACAGUCAGGCGUGAAAUUCCUGGGCUCAACCUGGGGACUGCGCUUGAGACGUGUGGGCUUGAGUGGGGAAGAGGGUCGUGGAAUUCCCAGUGUAGAGGUGAAAUUCGUAGAUAUUGGGAAGAACACCGGUGGCGAAGGCGGCGACCUGGUCCUUGACUGACGCUGAGGCGCGAAAGCGUGGGGAGCAAACAGG